rnacentral:rRNA from 1 species
GCGAACGCUGGCGGCAGGCUUAACACAUGCAAGUCGAGCGCGUAGCAAUACGAGCGGCGAACGGGUGAGUAACACGUAAACAAUCUGCCCUAAAGUGGGGAAUAACUAUCCCAACGGAUAGCUAAUACCGCAUAAUGAUGGAGGUGGCAUCACCUCUUCUCGAAAGACCUCGGUCUCUUUAGGAUGAGUUUGCGUCCCAUUAGUUUGUUGGCGGGGUAACGGCCCACCAAGACGACGAUGGGUAUCCGGCCUGAGAGGGUGUACGGACACAUUGGGACUGAGAUACGGCCCAGACUCCUACGGGAGGCAGCAGUAGGGAAUUUUGCGCAAUGGGGGAAACCCUGACGCAGCAACGCCAUGUGAGGGAUGAAGCAUUUCGGUGUGUAAACCUCUGUCAGCAGGGAAUAAAAGGCCUUACGGGCAUUUGAAUGUACCUGCAAAGGAAGCCCCGGCUAACUUCGU